rnacentral:misc_RNA from 1 species
CUCCCCUCUCCCUCCUUCCCCCUUCCCUCCUCCCUCCUCCCGGCCUCCCUAAGACAUCCAGCUGCGAGAUGGCGUAAUACGACGGAAUGCUGAUUAUACGGACGGUCUAGUUCGGCCACAUUUUUACGGCCGCGCACGUCGGUAGGGAGGAAGAGGAGCUGUGGAGAGGCGGGCUGCAGAUGGGCCUCCUAUUGUUUCGGGGCGGACGAGCCGAAAUGGGCGGCCGCCGCUCCUCCGCUGCUAUCAGGCCCGUGUUUCGAGCGGAUUGCCGUCCGUGCUUUAUUGUUAUUGGCGAUGCUCCACCUGUUGGCCCGCUCGCCGCCCGCUCGCCGCCCGCCCUCCGUAUUGUGUUGGUAUUGCACUUGGUGUGAAGAGAAUCCAAAGAGUGAUUGUACUGUUUGUUUGUAUUUGUUGUUCAUCGCUUGGCUCGUGGUGACGAAUGAAUUGUUUAAUGAUCUUAAUUAACGCGGUUUCUUUUCUUCCCGCAGGUGACAUCACGCAGAAAGGAUAUGAGAAGAAGAAGGCCCGUCUCCUCCAGCCCUAUGUCACCAGGGAUCCGAGUCAGGGUGCGCAGGCUGGAGCGGCCUCCCCCUCCACGCGUUCGCGACGCAGGGCGCAGCGCCGAGUCACCCGGAACGAGUCCCGCUACCACUCCGGUAAGUAACUGAUCGGAUCUCAACGACCGGAUGAUGCUCUCGUUCGUCGAGCUCGUGAGGUAAGUACUUGUCUUUCUCGUAUUUUGUGAGGAUUUUUCAGUCGUGCCGGAAGCUCGUCAAGGGACGUAAGCGUCUUGAAAUGCUUGCGUGGCUCUGACUGUCCGAGUUCUUGUGUCGAAAGGAGAAUUCUUAGCCAGUCAGUCUGAGCAGCCGAGGUUGCACUCAUGACGGUCAGCUAAUUUGUAUAUGGAAGGUCCAGUUGGCACGGACCAGUGAACAACGGGGUCUCGUACCCAUAGUUAGCUUGGCCCAGUCGGCCUACGCAUCAGCACCACUAGGGAGCGAUAAUGGACGUGGCGAAGGGAUUGUGUUCGUGAAAUAUGUUUUUUUUUUUUAACUUUAUGCUUUUAUUUUAUAUUUUUAUAUUACUUUCGGAAUUUCCCUCCAAGAAUGCGUUCCAUAGAAAGUCACGAGAUGUUGCUUAUCAUUUGCAUUUUAUCUUUUACGUUAACAAGGACCACAUUUUUAUCAUUGUAGAUAUUAAACGGUAUAGUGAUUAGCUUUUGUUUUUGUGAUGAAACCGUUUGGCUUUACAAUACUAAAUAUUGAUAAGUUGAAGUUGUUAAAUGAUAGAUCUUUGAGGCAGAAAUGUAACUACUCUGCCAUAGGUUAUUGGAUAUAUUUUAAAAGUCAGCGUUCGAAUCAUUAAUAGAGAAGGUAGUUAUGGCACGUCUUGAUAAUAUCUGCAUGAGGAGAACUCCUGCUUGCCAAUCAG